rnacentral:lncRNA from 1 species
UUCUUCUUCUUCUUCUUCAACUGGAGAAAACAUGAAAGAGAAAAAAAAAAGGAAUUUCACAUUAAGAGAAGGGUAUUUCUGGAAAAAAUUAUCACCUCUCACUUUUGACUAUUUGACCAAACGGUUUAAAUGGACGGAAGGACUACGAAUUUGGACGGAAGGACUACGAAUUUGGACGGAAGAGAAAGUGAGGGACUUAAGUGUUGGGUCGCUAAAAUAGAGGGACAGAAGUGUUAAUUACGUUAAACCUCAG